UCAGGAUGAACGCUGGCGGCGUGCUUAACACAUGCAAGUCGAACGAAGCUCUCUGAAGUGAGAUUCGGUCAAGCUAAGGAGAAGACUUAGUGGCGGACGGGUGAGUAACGCGUGGGUAACCUGCCGUAUGCAGGGGGACAACAGUUGGAAACGACUGCUAAUACCGCAUAAGCGCACGGUUCUGCAUGGAACAGUGUGAAAAGAUUUAUCGGCAUACGAUGGACCCGCGUCUGAUUAGCUAGUUGGUGAGGUAACGGCCCACCAAGGCAACGAUCAGUAGCCGGCCUGAGAGGGUGAACGGCCACAUUGGGACUGAGACACGGCCCAAACUCCUACGGGAGGCAGCAGUGGGGAAUAUUGCACAAUGGGGGAAACCCUGAUGCAGCGACGCCGCGUGAGUGAAGAAGUAUUUCGGUAUGUAAAGCUCUAUCAGCAGGGAAGAAAAUGACGGUACCUGACUAAGAAGCCCCGGCUAACUACGUGCCAGCCGCGGC
rnacentral:rRNA from 1 species